rnacentral:lncRNA from 1 species
UAAGAGAAAAAAAAAAAGCUAGUAGAUGGAGAAGUAAGCUUGACUUGUUUUUGAGCCAUGGAUGUGUUUUUAUAAUGUUAGAAAAGAAGGUUACCGUUGAAAUGACCGUUGGAGGGUAAAUAGGAAACGAAUUUGAUAUUUUAAGGGCAAAUAAGAAAAGUAUUGGCUACAUGGAGGGCAUAAAAGAAAAGUAGGUUACGGUACGAGGGUAUAUUGGAAUGGGCAAAAUGGUAAUUUUGCAGGGAUAACGGCAACUGUUAGCACCUCACUGACGGAAUUUAACUGCAGGGGUAAAUUAGAAAGAACUUGGAACAUAAGAAGGGUAUUUUCAAUAUUAGCCUUCUAAGAUGGGUAAAUAAGAAAAUCGGGAACUUUUCAGGGGUAUAUAGGCAAUUGCCCUUUUUUUUAAUGAGAUCAAAUUUCUCUCUCUUCUUAACUGUGAUGAACUGCUGCUUUCUACCGAUUCCCCUUCCCUCCAUCUUAUCUGCCCCUCCAUCUCCUCUCUCUCAAUAUUUCUUUUUUUUUUUUUCCUUCUUUCGCCCGCUCGCCUCCCUCUCCCUCUCUCUCACGUCUGCCUGUUAGCCUUGUCGCGGUCCUCCUUUCCCCAUUCCCUUCCUCGCCUGCCACCUCUCCUCCCUCCUAGGCUUUGCGCCAACGCACGCCCUCCUCACCUCUCUUUGCUAACAACCCCUCCGCCUCUCCGCCUUACAUUCUGCAGAUUCCCAUCGUGUAGGAGGGGGAAAAGAAUGAACGGCCACAGCUCUCGCACUCAACAAUGAUUCCAUCCUCCAUGGGAGCCGCGCCACCGCCGCCGCCUUCUCAGUCCUCGAACAGAUUAAUUUUGGCAACUGGAUUCUCCUUUUCUC